UACGGAGGGAGCUAGCGUUGUUCGGAAUUACUGGGCGUAAAGCGUACGUAGGCGGUUAUUCAAGUCAGAGGUGAAAGCCCGGGGCUCAACCCCGGAACUGCCUUUGAAACUAGAUAACUUGAAUCUUGGAGAGGUCAGUGGAAUUCCGAGUGUAGAGGUGAAAUUCGUAGAUAUUCGGAAGAACACCAGUGGCGAAGGCGACUGACUGGACAAGCAUUGACGCUGAGGUACGAAAGCGUGGGGAGCAAACAGG
rnacentral:rRNA from 1 species